UUGGUUUUUUGGGCUAAGGAGUUUAUUGUGAAGAGGGGAUUUGUUGCAUCACCUUGAACUCUUAGGCUGCUAGAGAAUCAGAGUUUUACCGGACUUAUUUCUUCUCCAAGAUUCAAGAUUUCGGUAGAGAAUCUUAGUGCGUGGGAUUUGGUGAACCCAACUCUGUAGCUCGGAGCCAGGAGAAGAUCAAGUUUAGAUUUGGGGGUGUCAGGGAGUUGUAUUGUCUGCGCUAUCAGUAUCUCUGUAUUUUCCUUUUCUGUGAGUGUAAGGCUUGUAUUCUGA